GUAAUAGUCCUGUAAGUGAAACGAGAAGACCACGAGUUAUGAUCCAGAGUACCACGAGACACGUGAAACCUUGUGGGAAGCAGGGAGGACCACCUCCCAAGGCUAAAUACUACCUGAUGACCGAUAGUGAAGCAGUACCGUGAGGGAAAGGUGAAAAGAACCCCGGGAGGGGAGUGAAAUAGAACCUGAAACCGUGUGCCUACAACCGCUCAGAGCCCCUUAUGAGGGUGAUGAGGUGCUUUUUGUAGAACGAGCCAACGAGUUACGGUAUGUAGCAAGGUUAAGUACUUAAGGUACGGAGCCGAAGGGAAACCGAGUCUGAAUAGGGCGACUAGUUGCAUGCCGUAGACCCGAAACCGGGUGACCUAUCCAUGGCCAGGUUGAAGCGAGGGUAAAACCUCGUGGAGGACCGAACCACGUUGCUGUUGAAAAAGCAUGGGAUGAGCUGUGGAUAGCGGAGAAAUUCCAAUCGAACCCGGAGAUAGCUGGUUCUCUCCGAAAUAGCUUUAGGGCUAGCGUCGAGUAUGAGUAGUGGAGGUAGAGCACUGAAUGGGCUAGGGGGCAUAGCGCUUACCGAACCUUAUCAAACUCCGAAUGCCACAUACUUUGAGCUCGGCAGUCAGACUACGAAUGAUAAGAUCCGUGGUCAAAAGGGAAACAGCCCAGAUCGUCAGCUAAGGUCCCAAAGUGUAAGUUAAGUGGGAAAGGAUGUGAGAUUUCUAAGACAACUAGGAUGUUGGCUUAGAAGCAGCCAUUCAUUAAAAGAGUGCGUAAUAGCUCACUAGUCGAGAGAUCUUGCGCCGAAAAUGUAACGGGGCUAAACUUACC
rnacentral:rRNA from 1 species